AGAGUUUGAUCAUGGCUCAGAUUGAACGCUGGCGGCAGGCCUAACACAUGCAAGUCGAACGGUAACAGGAAGCAGCUUGCUGCUUUGCUGACGAGUGGCGGACGGGUGAGUAAUGUCUGGGAAACUGCCUGAUGGAGGGGGAUAACUACUGGAAACGGUGGCUAAUACCGCAUAACGUCGCAAGACCAAAGAGGGGGACCUUCGGGCCUCUUGCCAUCAGAUGUGCCCAGAUGGGAUUAGCUUGUUGGUGAGGUAACGGCUCACCAAGGCGACGAUCCCUAGCUGGUCUGAGAGGAUGACCAGCCACACUGGAACUGAGACACGGUCCAGACUCCUACGGGAGGCAGCAGUGGGGAAUAUUGCACAAUGGGCGCAAGCCUGAUGCAGCCAUGCCGCGUGUAUGAAGAAGGCCUUCGGGUUGUAAAGUACUUUCAGCGGGGAGGAAGGUGUUGUCGUUAAUAACCACAGCAAUUGACGUUACCCGCAGAAGAAGCACCGGCUAACUCCGUGCCAGCAGCCGCGGUAAUACGGAGGGUGCAAGCGUUAAUCGGAAUUACUGGGCGUAAAGCGCACGCAGGCGGUCUGUCAAGUCGGAUGUGAAAUCCCCGGGCUCAACCUGGGAACUGCAUUCGAAACUGGCAGGCUUGAGUCUUGUAGAGGGGGGUAGAAUUCCAGGUGUAGCGGUGAAAUGCGUAGAGAUCUGGAGGAAUACCGGUGGCGAAGGCGGCCCCCUGGACAAAGACUGACGCUCAGGUGCGAAAGCGUGGGGAGCAAACAGGAUUAGAUACCCUGGUAGUCCACGCCGUAAACGAUGUCUACUUGGAGGUUGUGCCCUUGAGGCGUGGCUUCCGGAGCUAACGCGUUAAGUAGACCGCCUGGGGAGUACGGCCGCAAGGUUAAAACUCAAAUGAAUUGACGGGGGCCCGCACAAGCGGUGGAGCAUGUGGUUUAAUUCGAUGCAACGCGAAGAACCUUACCUGGUCUUGACAUCCACGGAAGAAUUCAGAGAUGGAUUUGUGCCUUCGGGAACCGUGAGACAGGUGCUGCAUGGCUGUCGUCAGCUCGUGUUGUGAAAUGUUGGGUUAAGUCCCGCAACGAGCGCAACCCUUAUCCUUUGUUGCCAGCGGUCCGGCCGGGAACUCAAAGGAGACUGCCAGUGAUAAACUGGAGGAAGGUGGGGAUGACGUCAAGUCAUCAUGGCCCUUACGACCAGGGCUACACACGUGCUACAAUGGCGCAUACAAAGAGAAGCGACCUCGCGAGAGCAAGCGGACCUCAUAAAGUGCGUCGUAGUCCGGAUUGGAGUCUGCAACUCGACUCCAUGAAGUCGGAAUCGCUAGUAAUCGUGGAUCAGAAUGCCACGGUGAAUACGUUCCCGGGCCUUGUACACACCGCCCGUCACACCAUGGGAGUGGGUUGCAAAAGAAGUAGGUAGCUUAACCUUCGGGAGGGCGCUUACCACUUUGUGAUUCAUGACUGGGGUGAAGUCGUAACAAGGUAACCGUAGGGGAACCUGCGGUUGGAUCACCU
rnacentral:rRNA from 1 species